AAGUCGUAACAAGGUUUCCGUAGGUGAACCUGCGGAAGGAUCAUUAACACGUAUCCAACGUUAAACCCCCCGUGAACCUUCAUUGUGCUCCCCCAUUCCGUUAGGACGCGGCAAUCCCUGGUAAAUCAUCGCCGAACAGUUUUGAUUCAGGGACCUCUGCAUGGAGUGGGCAGCAGCGCGAGGCCCGACACGGCCGGCGACCGGGUCACUGGGCUCACGCCCCCCUAUCACCUUUGCAUGAAAACGGGCCUGCGCUUAAUUGUGCGGCCACCAAACUCGAACAACUGUUAACAAUGGAUAUCUUGGUUCUC
rnacentral:misc_RNA from 1 species